CAGCUUAUCCAUGCUCUCCGAUCUCGUGUCUGUUUCUCUUUCUCUCUCCCUCUCUUGCGCCUUCCCUCUCCCUCUCUUUCGCCUUCCCUCAUUCACGCACUCUUCCAUCUUUUUGCCAUUGUGCCAGCUCAAUUUAAAUGUAUCUGCUCUGUAUCUGUUCAAGUGGAGAUAAUCCAUGCAAAUCAGGAGCCGUGGCUCUCAAUGCCUGGUUCACAGAGAGGACUCAGCUUGAGGAGGUCACUCGUUCACAGCCGCUCCUCCCAUUAUAUUUUUCCCCUUAUUGCAGAACUGCUGUAUGUAUACAGUGACUGAAAGGACUCAAUUUACUGCAACUGCUGCCUGGCUUUACUUACAACUUUUUUUUUUUAAUAUAAAGGAACUUACCUCCAUCUGUCUUUUCAAGUUUCAGGGUAGAAAGGGUCCCUUUAACUCCUGAAGACAGUAAAUCACAGUCUGUGUGGUGGUUCUCAGAAGACACUUAAAGGACUGAACUGGAUGCUCUACAUAGCACCCUUGCCAAAAGGUUUCGGAAAUGACUUCCAGCUUCCCACAGUAAUAAAAUGGCACUGUUUGGCAUCUUCGAGAGCGUGAUAUGAGCACACUUAGGUGAACUUCAGACCACCUCAGAACAUUACUAUCUGCAGCUAUCUGGGGCAGAACAGGAUGUGCUGGCGGGUGGUGCAAGGGAGGCUGGAAGGAUGGCCAGGUGCCCUGGACACUGCCGCCGUGGUACGAUAGGUGGCGCUCUCCCCUCCGAGUCCGUGUGAACGAUCUCGGAACGUGCUCUUCGGAGGGUAUUACUUUGCUUGAAGGAAAUGUCUUGGACGUUCAUCAGAGUUUCUGGCACUGUUCAACAGCUACCGAGUCUCAUAGCAGACUCUGGCUGUAUUUUGGUGAUGGAAAAAGCUUAGAAAACAGGUUUCCUGUCUUUAAGGAGGAGGCUCCUGUUAGGCAUUAUUGUCAUUUGUAUACAAGACUUUUUAUAAUUAGGUUUCACCCUCCUCCCAGUUGCAAAGGAAAAUCUUUUGUCAUUCCUAUUUGACUCAUGGGGUCUAGGAAGAAGUUUGAUCAUCUUCCAUUUCCCAUCUGGUUAUUCAUAAGACAGCUGCAUCUCUGAUUUCUCCUAGACUACACAAGGCUACCGACAACAAACGUUUUAUAAAGGAAGGCCACCUUUGAGAAAAGGAACCUGGACUUUAAAAGUUGUCAACCAAACACACGAGAUAUAGCUUAUUUCUUAUUUCAACUGCACCAGAAGUGGAAAUUAUAACUCUUUUAAGUAGAAAAGACAAGACUGAUAUUUUUACAUAGAAUCCAACCCACAUUUGUCUUUGUUUAUAUGCUGCAAUUAUAAGGCUAUUAUGAACAAAUUAGUAGUAUCACGGAAGAAUUUUUAAUGACUUGCUGAUUUCAACUAUUGCCAAAUACCUUCAUCUACUCAUCAUAUUUUUAAUUAAGAGACCCCGGUGUGUGUGUAUUUAUACAAUCUUUUUGUUAAAAUUACUCAAUAGUGGCCUCAGUAGUUAUAGACUAGUCCAUUAAUUUAUUAAAGAGGUUCUAAAAAUGAUUACAAAAUAAGCAGGAUGUGGAUACACCCAGCUUAACAAUAGCGGGGAAGUGAGGGGUCCCUAACAAAAGAUAUGAUAAGAGGAAAGGGAAGUAUCACUGCAAUUCAUAAUGAUGGUUGGUAAAGAGUUGAGUACAUGUUUUUAAGUCUGUGGCAGCUCGAUUCAACAAAGAAUUGCUGUAAAUGCUAAUGUCUUUUGCUCACAAGUCCUCCCUGUGACUAUGACCCAAAUCAGAGCAUCUGACUUCAGUGGGUGACCAUCUGUGAUAAGAAGGAGAGUUAUUCCUUCUGGGCUAGUCCUGAAAUACUAAUGUGAAGGCAGCGUUCUUGCACAUAGUAGGAAAUCAGUAAAUACCUGCUAAAUGGAUGAAAAAUGAACAAACAUGUGAAAAAGAGUUUCUCCUUUUUCUUAUUGCUAAAACAGAAGUAAUGUUACUUUCAGCAAAUAUGUAAGGGUACAAACAGUUAUAUUCCUGAUUUUUUAAAGUGUAAUACAUUUAUCCCUAAAUAUAGAAACUGUACCAUACAUAUACCCUGAACAACCUUCCUGCUAAAAAACAAAAAAUAUUAAUGGCUAGCACAUUCAUCUCUACCUCUUACAUUAACAGGGACUUGCUAAAGAGUUUAUGGUUAUACUUCAGCUUGUUCCCUGAAUAGU